rnacentral:rRNA from 1 species
GAGUGAAGUGGGAAAAGCUCAAAUUUGAAAUCUGGCAGUCUGUUUUUUUCUCCUUUGGCUGUCCGAGUUGUAAUCUAGAGAAGUGCUUACCUGUACUGGACCAUGUAUAAGUCUCCUGGAAUGGAGCAUCACAGAGGGUGAGAAUCCCGUCUUUGACAUGGACUGCCAGUGCGUUGUGGUGUGCUCUCAAAGAGUCGAGUUGUUUGGGAAUGCAGCUCUAAAUGGGUGGUAAACUCCAUCUAAAGCUAAAUAUUGGCGAGAGACCGAUAGUGAACAAGUACCGUGAGGGAAAGAUGAAAAGGACUUUGGAAAGAGAGUUAAACAGUAUGUGAAAUUGUUGAAAGGGAAACACUUGAUGUCAGUUGUGUCAGCCAGGGAUCAACCUAGUUCUUUUUAGCUGGGUGAAUUUCCUAGUCUGACAGGCCAACAUCAGUUUUGAUUGCUAGAGAAAGGUGGAAGGAAUGUGGCACCCUCGGGUGUGUUAUAGCCUUCUAUCAAAUGUGGCAAUUGGGACUGAGGAAUGCAGCGUGCCGUAAGGCAGGGCUCUGACCACGUUCGCGCUUAGGAUGUUGGCUUUUAAUGGCUUCAAUUGACCCGUCUUGAAACACGGACCAAGGAGUCUAACAUGCCUGCGAGUGUUUGGGUGUGAAAAACCCUUGUGCACAAUGAAAGUAAAGGUUAAGAUCCCUGUCAUGGGGAGCAUUGACGCCCGGACCUGAGCUUUUAGCAAAGGAUCCGAGGUAGAGCAUGCAUGUUGGGACCCGAAAGAUGGUGAACUAUGCCUGAAUAGGGCAAAGCCAGAGGAAACUCUGGUGGAGGCUCGUAGCGAUUCUGACGUGCAAAUCGAUCGUUGAAUUUGGGUAUAGGGGCGAAAGACUAAUCGAACCAUCUAGUAGCUGGUUCCUGCCGA